UGGCUCAGAUUGAACGCUGGCGGCAUGCCUUACACAUGCAAGUCGAACGGUAACGGGCCUUCGGGUGCCGACGAGUGGCGAACGGGUGAGUAAUGUAUCGGAACGUACCUUUCAGUGGGGGAUAACGUAGCGAAAGUUACGCUAAUACCGCAUAUUCUGUGAGCAGGAAAGCAGGGGAUCGCAAGACCUUGCGCUGAUUGAGCGGCCGAUAUCAGAUUAGCUAGUUGGUGAGGUAAAGGCUCACCAAGGCGACGAUCUGUAGCGGGUCUGAGAGGAUGAUCCGCCACACUGGAACUGAGACACGGUCCAGACUCCUACGGGAGGCAGCAGUGGGGAAUUUUGGACAAUGGGGCAACCCUGAUCCAGCCAUGCCGCGUGAGUGAAGAAGGCCUUCGGGUUGUAAAGCUCUUUCGGCCGGGAAGAAAUCGUAUGGGUUAAUACCCUGUGCGGAUGACGGUACCGGCAUAAGAAGCACCGGCUAACUACGUG
rnacentral:rRNA from 1 species